UACGGAGGGGGCUAGCGUUGUUCGGAAUUACUGGGCGUAAAGCGCACGUAGGCGGCUUUGUAAGUUAGAGGUGAAAGCCCGGAGCUCAACUCCGGAAUUGCCUUUAAGACUGCAUCGCUAGAAUUGUGGAGAGGUAAGUGGAAUUCCGAGUGUAGAGGUGAAAUUCGUAGAUAUUCGGAAGAACACCAGUGGCGAAGGCGACUUACUGGACGACUGUUGACGCUGAGGUGCGAAAGCGUGGGGAGCAAACAGG
rnacentral:rRNA from 1 species